CCCAAGUUCGCGGGGAAAUCGCGGUCUUUUCCUCAUUACAGUAAAAGUUCUCAUUGAGGAAACAAUACCGUAUCACUCUCGUGAUUAUUUCUCCCCUUUUUCAGGGGCGUAACAUUUUUGGAGGCUCCGCUGAGAUUGCUGCUCAGAUGUCCAGAUUCCACAUCCUGGUCGCUGAAUUCAGAGCCAGCUAAAUCCCCACAUAACAACUCAGGCAGGCUGCAGUGAGGAAAGUGUUGCUGUUCGAGGAGAGCUGGAAGUUGGUGGUUAAGUACGUGUCAGCUGAGGCCAUUGAUCGACCAUCAGAGACAGUAAGGACCAUCUAAUUCAGAGUCAACUCCUGCACAGUAAAAGUUCCUCCUGUUCUGUCAACAUGACGACCGCCUUGGAAGAACUACAGGAAGAGGUAGUAGGAGAAUUGCACACCCUGACUAAAGACAAGUUACUAGAGAUAUGUGAUUUCCUUGACAUCUCAGGUGAACAGAGAAGAGAUGUUCAAGACAAAUCCCACAUAUCAUUGAUGACUCACAUUAUGAUGUUCCUUGAAAGAGAGGAAGUUGCAGAGUUAGAAGAUGGCGGCAUGUCGGAAUUGUUGCUACUUAAAGACAAAAUGACAGAGAUGAUCAGUGGCGUAGAUAACAAAACAGGGCAAACUGACCAUGAUAUUGAAACAGCCGGAACACAUCACAGAAUAGAGGAACUGAGAACUGCAACCCCACAACAAGGGGUGGGAACUGAGCAGAUUACUGCAGCCAAAGCCAGUGAUUCUCUGUGUCAGCCCCAAACCCAUGCUAAUCUUCAGGUGAGCGUGCCGCUCUCACCCAGUGCACAGCCCAGCUCAUACUGGCGCAAAGAGUUUAAAAUUUCUGGUCAGAUAGGUGAACCGGGCCAGAAAGAUAAACAGAUUUUUUCCAGCCUUGCCCAUCAGAUCGAGAAUGGACUUAACAGAGGCUAUCCUGAGGUAGAAAUAGUAGACGCAGUAGUCAGGGCUAUUUCUCCAGGCUCACGGCUACGCAGCUACUUGGAGGGUAAACCCCAGCUAACUCUUCCCACACUUAGAUGUAUCCUGCAUUCCCACUUCCAAGAGAAGAGUGCAACAGAGCUUUACAAACAGCUAGCUUCAGAAGCACAGCAUAGCAAGGAGACCCCUCAAAGCUUCCUGAUGCGCGUCUUAGAUUUGAGGCAGAAAGUACUGUUUGCAUCCCAGGAGUCAGAAU
rnacentral:lncRNA from 1 species